UACGUAGGGGGCUAGCGUUGUCCGGAAUCAUUGGGCGUAAAGCGCGUGUAGGCGGUUCGGUAAGUCCGCUGUGAAAGUCGGGGGCUCAACCCUCGAAUGCCGGUGGAUACUGUCGGGCUAGAGUGCGGAAGAGGCGAGUGGAAUUCCUGGUGUAGCGGUGAAAUGCGCAGAUAUCAGGAGGAACACCAAUUGCGAAGGCAGCUCGCUGGGACGCUACUGACACUGAGACGCGAAAGCGUGGGGAGCAAACAGG
rnacentral:rRNA from 1 species